rnacentral:rRNA from 1 species
GACGAACGCUAGCGGCGUGCUUAACACAUGCAAGCCGAACGGAAAGGUCCUGCCUUUGUUGGGUGCUCGAGUUGCGAACGGGUAAGUAACACGUGAGUAACCUUCCUUUGAGGUUGAGAUAACUUAAAGAAACUGGGGUUAAUACCAGUUUGGUGCUCGUGCUGCAUGGUGGGUGUUAGAACGUUUGGGCGGUUGGGGAUGGACUCGCGGCUUAUCAGCUUGUUGGUGAGGUAGUGGCUAAGCAAGGCGUUGACGGGUGGCCGGCCUGAGAGUGGGACCGGCCACAUGGCGACUGAGAUACGGCCCAGAGUCGUACGGGAGACAGCAGUGGGGGAGAUUGCACGAUGGGCGGAAGCCUGAUGAAGCAACGCCGCGUGAGGGAUUAUAGCCUUCGGUUUGUAAGCCGCAUUCGCAUGUGACGAAGCGUGAGUGACGGUAAUAGGUAAAGAAGCACCGGCUAACUACGUG